AUGAACGCUGGCGGCGUGCCUAAUACCUGCCAGUCGAGCGAACAGACGAGGAGCUUGCUCCUCUGACGUUAGCGGCGGACGGGUGAGUAACACGUGGAUAACCUACCUAUAAGACUGGGAUAACUUCGGGAAACCGGAGCUAAUACCGUAUAACAUGUUGAACCGCAUGGUUCAACAGUGAAAGACGGUCUUGCUGUCACUUAUAGAUGGAUCCGCGCCGCAUUAGCUAGUUGGUAAGGUAACGGCUUACCAAGGCAACGAUGCGUAGCCGACCUGAGAGGGUGAUCGGCCACACUGGAACUGAGACACGGUCCAGACUCCUACGGGAGGCAGCAGUAGGGAAUCUUCCGCAAUGGGCGAAAGCCUGACGGAGCAACGCCGCGUGAGUGAAGAAGGUCUUCGGAUCGUAAAACUCUGUUAUUAGGGAAGAACAAAUGUGUAAGUAACUAUGCACGUCUUGACGGUACCUAAUCAGAAAGCCACGGCUAACUACGUG
rnacentral:rRNA from 1 species